GAUUACAGUCUUUAUAAGGAAGUCCCUCGAAGUGGAAAUGGAUUGAAAGUGAAGGGCGUGCUCCUGGCUGAGGGAAAAGUGUGUGAGCCUGGCCCUAAUGCGGAAUCUCAUUAAGGCAACUGUCAGGAUUCUUCUAUUUUACUCUCACCUCUCCUAUUCCGUAAGAGCCCGAGUGUCGUUUCGAGUCCAGCACCCGCACGUGGUCGAUAGUUACUGACUGGUUCGGGCCCUUUCCUGCCUCGGCUCCGAGCUGUGGAGAAGGCAGUCCAUGCUACAGGUAUUGAUCGAGAAAGAUGCAGGACAGAAGAGAUGUUCUCGUGGGGCUGUUUUAAUGGAAACACAUUGUGAUGAAUCACAAGCUUCCAUCUUAUGAUUGAUAAUGUUGUUUAACAAGUCACUCUCCCCAGAUAGUGCCUAGGAUUAAUGAAGGAUUGCACAUCCUUUCUCCUCAGAAAGGGGGGGGGGAAAAACUAGCAGAAAUGUGUGUUAUUGACAUCAACAGGUUAAAGGGAAAUCAAGAGAGCAUGGA